rnacentral:rRNA from 1 species
GACGAACCGUGCGAACGUUAUUCGGAAUCACUGGGCUUAAAGCGCGUGUAGGCGGGCCGCCACGUCGGCUGCUGAAAUCCCCCGGCUCAACCGGGGAACGGGCACCGAUACGAGCGGCCUGGAGGGGGGUAGGGGGGCCUGGAACUUCCGGUGGAGCGGUGAAAUGCGUUGAUAUCGGAAGGAACGCCGGUGGCGAAAGCGACACACUGGGUCUCAACUGACGCUGAGGCACGAAAGCCAGGGGAGCGAACGGG